rfam:Theobroma cacao cultivar Matina 1-6 chromosome 1, whole genome shotgun sequence.
UAAGUGGAGUUUUUAAACUCCACAAACUAUAUUUAUCAUAUUAAAU